UCUGGCAAUCGGCUGUGGAGGGACUUCACCACCUCUUCUCCUUCAUGCAGCUGCUAAAAUCCAAAAUGCUGGUGAAGCACGGUGCAGAGUAUCGGCAGAUCCUCAAGGACAGUCAAACUGAGAGAGCCUUCUGGGUCACCAACAUCAGCAAUAUCACAUCGCUGUUUGGGAAGUACUUCAACCCGUCCGAGAGCAUGGACUUCCUCCUCGUUGCUAUCGACGGCGUGAGAGACUCCAGCGUCCAUGACGCAGUGACCAG